UUUCAGGAGUCUUCACCAAUACCAGGGUUCAAAAGCAUCAAUGAAUGCAUGACAGAAAGAUACAGCUUGGCUAUUGGCACUUGUAGGGAUGAGAUGCUCAACGCUUGGUGCAUAUUCUACAUGAAUAGCAGCACUUUUCCUUGUUAAAUGGCCACAGAAAAAGUAAGAAGUCUUGCUGUGCUGCUGUUGACCUGAAUAAGGAAUAAAUUGGAUUUCUGGACAUGUGUGAUAUGCAGCAAUUUAAAAUCAUUGGAGUUCUUCAUAUUGUUAAGUGUGCUUCAGUUUGAAAGAGUGAGGCUUUCCUACAAAUGCCAGGAGGUCAUGGCACCAUGCUAUUCCUAUUUUUCCCACAGCAAGAACUCUAUGAGGUAGCUGGACUGAGAGAGAAGGACCCAACUUAGCCAGUGAGCUUUUAUGGCUGAAAGUGGACUUGAACCUGGAUCUUCCCAAUUGUAGUCCAAGACUUUAACCCCUAUGCCACACUGGUUCUCCCUGAGAUGUGUAAAAGCAUGAUGCCUCAGUCUUCCUGGCCAGAAGGGACUCUCGGAGACUGAUUUUGCUUAGUCUGGAUAGGUACAUACUGUAAAACAGAAGCAUAACCAUAUUGGCAGGCUUUGCAUUCAAGCCUGAUCUUUGAUGGGGUGGUAACUUUCUACCUAGUUGUAGACGUCUUCAUUAAACAAGAUGCUAAAGUAGGAAGAGGGAGAGUUCUAAGCAAAACGUGUAAUGCCUCACCUGAGAAAGCAUCUAACAGAAGUGAGAUUUGCCUAGGAGAAUUCAGAUCCAUUGUUUCUGUUACUCGCAACACUACAGGGCUGUAAGUCCACCACUCAACUGAAAUGGGUGGUAUAUCAGACAGCUUAUUAAAGAGACAAGCUUGCUGCUUUUUCAAAGUGGGAUGACAGAACAAGUCAUGAUCUAGUGUGGAAGGAAAAUGAGAUCCCUAGUGAAAUCUACAUUGUGACUGACUCUGAAGACUCUGAAGACUCUGAGACCAGUUGUUGCUUAAUGGCCCUUAUUGGCCUGUGCAAUAGAAACUGAUAUGAUCUUAAAAAACAGAUGGUUCUUAAAAAUGGUGUCUGUUGGACCCAAAGUAUGAUGACUUAGUGAAAUGUCACAUAAAAAGGUACAUGAAGAUUUAAUUAGAAGAUAUUGUUUUAUGGAGGAUGUGAUCAUUGGCCACUUAAAAUUUCUUUGGCCCUUCGAGCAAGAUAUGAUAAGUUGACAUGAAACAUUUCCAUUUAAAGGUCUACAAUAAAAGUGAUGUGUUGUUCUGUCAUUUCCUUUCAGCAUCUUGAGUGUUUGUAAGCAUCCCAUGCUUUGUAUGUGGGGUUCAGAGCUAUAGCUCGUCAUGCUGUCUUUUGGUCCCCAUCAUCAUGGAUCAUAAUGUUUCUUUGUUAUUUGGCUUUCUUUUUUUUUUAAUGUAGCUGUUUUGGGGCCAAACUGAAAGUUGUUGCAUUUAAUAUGGCAGGUAUUUCAAAUCUUUUGCUCCAUGCUACAGUCUUAGUGAAAAUCCUUACUUUCAGAAGCAGGUAUUGGUAAUGGAAUGAAACCUCCUUUUGGUGCUUCUGGGAAUGUGUGGCUUUAAAAGCGGUGAUGGUGGGGAAUUAUGUUUAACUGAUCAGGAAAUUAUAUUCCCAAAUAGGAAGCAUCUCUGAUUAGAUUCAGUGGGAUUUAUUCCUAGCACUUGACCGAACAGCCAUGAAAGCCUUGGAAAAGAUAUUCAAAUGCUGUGAGGUGUCUAUACGGACAAAGAUCAGAACUGAGCAAGCAAUGGUAUUCCCUGUGACAUCCUAUGGAAGCGAAAGUUGGACUUUAAAGAAGCAGGAUAGGAAGAGCAUUGAUGCUUCUGAACUUUGGUGUUAGAGAAGGUUACUGAGAACACCAUAGACA